GGCGCCGGCUUCCGGCCCGGCGAGGUUUGAGCGCGUCCGCGGGCUGGGAGGCCGCUGGACCCGGGCGCAUGGCCUCCCCCGGGCAGUUAUCUCCUUGCCGCGACCUUGAGGUCUUCGACCGUGUGCUGUCCUGGAGCCAGUGAAACCAGACGAAAUUAAGGGAACAGCAGACGAAGGAACUGCCACCGUGCCCCAGACCCUGGUUUGCAAAUACAGUUCGACAAAGAUCUUGCCAGGAAUUGGCCUGGGAGAGUCCAAAGGACUGGGCUGGGGGUGGGGAAAUGAUUUUAGCCAGAAGACAAAUAUAGAGGUUGUACCCAGAAGGUUAAGAGGCUUAGGAAGGUUAAGAACUACGUUAACAUUUGGCUCCCAGGACCCCAGGUAAAGUGCCCUUGGAUUGAAUAGAUUUCUGAACUCCAGAAACAUUUAGAGGAAUCAAUAGAAUUAGAUUGGCAGCCAUUGUGCCAAUGGACAAGUGCUUACUGAGCCCCUUAAUCCCUUCACUGGGUAAGCAUUUGCCACACAUGUCCUCAAAAACCUACUUGUUAGCUUAAGUGGACUCCCUCAAGUUCAGAACAGGAGCAAAUAGUGUAAUCACAAGUUCCGUGUCUGAAUAAUCAUAACAAUGUUUAUAAAAAUAAGGACGACUGUUGAAAACUGCAACUGCAGCUGAACCUUAUGUGCCCAGACUUCAGAAUUCCCAUAGGCAAAAUGCCAGCAGGCCUUUGCACACUGAACACAUAGUGUUCAUAUCCUUCACUUUCCUUUCCUGCCCUCUCCUAUCUUCUCCAGAUCUGCCUGUGAAAGGACCCAAUUCUAGGACCCCCCAGGAUGGUUAGGCCCUUCCUCUGAAAGUACACUUUGCAAUUUGUUAGUCUCCUCAAGAACCCCAGCGAUCGAAACUGAUGCACACAAAUUGCAUGUGUUCAAAGGAGCAAUUUUGAAUCUAGCUUUGUUGAUCCUGGGAGAAAUCUUUGACCUGUGUUAGUGAAAGGCUAUGGUGUUUCUCAGCUGAUUAUAAUAGCGAGGUAGCUGAAUGCAAAAAAACAGUUUCAGAGAAUGGUAGAGUAUAUCCUCCAAAGGUGAUACUCGCUUCUCUAUUCUGGUGAGAGAAACAAGAGCUAAAGCAAAAUUCUACAGAGGGCUUUAUUUGGAGAGAGGUGGAUUUUAUUUAUAAUGCAUUUAAAAUUCAAAAUCUUUCUAGUUUGAACUCUUGACAUUCUGAUUAAUGCAUUUUUAUUCAACUGUUAAUUAUUCCUCGAUACACCUCGCCAUCACUUGUGUAUCCCUUUUCUACAUGUGACCUUUCCCUGGCCACAUCUGCUACUCUCUUUGAGCAUGAUGCCUCUACUGUAUUCUAUUCCAGAGCUCAUUGUUUUGUCAGUUUUUUUUCUCUCCACAAAAAAAGAUGAUCAAAUAAUUACAUAGAAUUUUUCCCUUCUCAGUCUUUGGGUAACUAAGUGUGGUUUUAUUGACGAUGAAAUACAAGAUGGGUCAUUUAAAAGCAACUUCUUGUCAUCACUUGGUAUUUUGCUAAAUCCACGGUGAGCUGGAGCUCCCGUAGUCACCUAUCACCGCGUGUAUUUUAAGGAGUCAGAUAUUCUCGAAACUGUUAAGAUCAUGAAAGACAAAGAGACUAAGGAACUGUCACAGAUUAAAGGAGACUAAAGAUACUUGACAACUGAAUGUAAUAUAUGACACUCAACCGGCUCCUGUACCAGAAAAAGGACAUUGGUUAUAUUGGUGAGGUUUGAAUAUCUGUAGAUUACCAAUACUAUUCUUGGUUAUGGUGGUUAUGUAAGAUUUAGAGAAGUUGAAUAAAGGAUAUAAGGAC
rnacentral:lncRNA from 1 species